rnacentral:lncRNA from 1 species
UGGCUUUGAGGACUGCGAACGCUAUAGCAGGUUUACCUUGAGUCUCUCCCACAACGAAUAGCUACCAUCAAUCAAAUACCUCGAUCUGUACACAAAAAAUGUACAGAAGUGUAGUAUCGGCACAACCGACCCCAUGUCCUGGUAAGUGUCGAGCCUACCCCGGCAAAGUAGUGACAAGGCUAGGACCAGACACUCACAUAAACCUGUG